rnacentral:tRNA from 1 species
GCCAGCAUUGUGUAGUGGUUUGAGUGUUGGACUGUGACUCUGGAGACCAGGGUUCAAGUCCCUGCUCAGCCA